rnacentral:ncRNA from 1 species
GCGAGCCGGAUACAUCGAAAGGUGUCCGUCCGGUUCUGAGGGAGGGUUGUGGAGACCUGUCGAUGAAUAAGGCGUCACAAUCCCUAU